UUUGUUCAUUUUUUUUCUGUUGUUAAUUUUUCUUGUUAUUUCUUUUGAUUUUUUUUUUCGUAAUAAAGGGGAAGGAAA
rnacentral:ribozyme from 13 species